UACGGGGGGGCAAGCGUUGUUCGGAAUUACUGGGCGUAAAGGGCUCGUAGGUGGCCAACUAAGUCAGACGUGAAAUCCCUCGGCUUAACCGGGGAACUGCGUCUGAUACUGGAUGGCUUGAGUUCGGGAGAGGGAUGCGGAAUUCCAGGUGUAGCGGUGAAAUGCGUAGAUAUCUGGAGGAACACCGGUGGCGAAGGCGGCAUCCUGGACCGGCAUUGACGCUGAGGCGCGAAAGCCAGGGGAGCAAACGGG
rnacentral:rRNA from 1 species